rnacentral:rRNA from 1 species
AUUGAACGCUGGCGGCAUGCUUUACACAUGCAAGUCGAGCGGCAGCGCGGGGGCAACCCUCGCGGCGAGCGGCGAACGCGUGAGGAAUACAUCGGAACGUGCCCCGGAGUGGGGGAGAACGCCGCGAAAGCGGCGCUACUACCGCAUCUGCUCUGUGGACGAAAGCGGGGGACCGCAAGGGCCCGCGCUCUGGGAGCGGCCGAGGUCCGAUGAGCGAGGUGGUGGGGGAAAGGCCUACCAAGGCGACGAUGGGUAGCUGGUCUGAGAGGAUGAACAGCCACGCUGGAACUGAGGCACGGUCCAGACUCCAACGGGAGGCAGCCGUGGGGAAUUGUUGACAAUGGGCGCAAGCCUGAUGACGCAACGCCGCGUGGAGGAUGAAGACUUUCGGGUCGUAAACUCCUUUCGACCGAGAUGAAUUCCCGCCGGCCUAAUACGCCGGCGGGGUGACAGUAUCGAGGGAAGAAACCCCGGCUAACUCUGUGCCAGCCGCCGCGGUAACAC